rnacentral:misc_RNA from 1 species
CCAAAAAAAAAAAAAAAGGAAGAAUUCCAACCAAAUGCAUAAAAGAGGCAAACAAAGAAAAAAAAUAAAUCACUGCAAGAAUGGACCAGUGCCACAAAAGUCUAAUAUACUACUUUAACAAUUCACAUUCCUACAAGGAUUCAUGGGUUCAAUCUAUAAAUGGAAAUGCAAAUGCCAAAAAUUCUAUCUGCAAAAUAAUGAGUGUCAAUACCCAAUUGCAAACCGCAGCGUCAUUCUAGAAACAAAAGCGUAAUUACAAUUCAAAUCAGAGAUAGAUUUAGAAAGAAUCAACAAAAAUCAACUGACCCGAAGUCAUCAGGGACAGAACGUGAAAUCCUCAUCUUCCUUCUAGCU